rnacentral:rRNA from 1 species
GACGAACGCUGGCGGCGUGCUUAACACAUGCAAGUCGAACGGUAAGGCCCUUCGGGGUACACGAGUGGCGAACGGGUGAGUAACACGUGGGUGAUCUGCCCUGCACUUCGGGAUAAGCCUGGGAAACUGGUGCUAAUACCGGAUAGGACCACUGCCUGCAUGGGGGGUGGUGGAAAGCUUUUGCGGUGUGGGAUGGGCACGCGGCCUAUCAGCUUGUUGGUGGGGUGAUGGCCUACCAAGGCGACGACGGGUAGCCGGCCUGAGAGGGUGACCGGCCACACUGGGACUGAGAUACGGCUCAGACUCCUACGGGAGGCAGCAGUGGGGAAUAUUGCACAAUGGGCGCAAGCCUGAUGCAGCGACGCCGCGUGAGGGAUGACGGCCUUCGGGUUGUAAACCUCUUUCAGCACCGACGAAGCGCAAGUGACGGUAGGUGCAGAAGAAGGACCGGCCAACUACGUGCCAGCCGCCGCGGUAA